rnacentral:rRNA from 1 species
ACUAACCAGGAUUUCCCUAGUAACGGCGAGCGAACCGGAAAGAGCCCAGCUUGGAAAUCGUGGUGCCUCGCACCUCGAGUUGUAGUCUGGAGAAGGCUCCUCUGCGCCGCGCCGGGCCCAAGUUCCCUGGAAAGGGACGUCAUCGAGGGUGACAACCCCGUCCGCGCCCGGAACGCGUCGCUCCACGAGGACCUGUCUGCGAGUCGGGCUGUUUGGGAAUGCAGCCCUAAUCGGGAGGUAAAUUCCUUCCAAGGCUAAAUAUGGGCAAGAGACCGAUAGCGAACAAGUACCGCGAGGGAAAGAUGAAAAGGACUUUGAAAAGAGAGUUAAAAAGUGCUUGAAAUUGCUGGGAGGGAAGCGAAUGGAAGCUGCGGGUGCGCCCCGGUUGGAUGUGGAACGGCUGCGGCUGGUCCGCCGCUCAACGCGGGGCGCUGGUCAGCGUGGGCCGCGGCGCCGGGACAAGAGCGGGGAUUCGCUCCCCGCCUAUGCCGGUGCCGCGGCCGAGGCACGAAGCGCGCGCCGCCAGGCGUGGGGUCCGCCCCAACUGCGCGCUCGGGACGCUGGCGCAUUGAGCUCUUCAUCCGGCCCGUCUUGAAACACGGACCAAGGAGUCUAACAUGUAUGCGAGCCGGUGGGCGGCAAACCCAUUGAGGCGCAAGGAACCUGACAGGUGGGACCCCGACCGCGAGGAGGGAGCACCAUCGACCG